rnacentral:rRNA from 1 species
AGUCGAGCGGGCGUAGCAAUGCGUCAGCGGCAGACGGGUGAGUAACGCGUGGGAACGUACCUUUUGGUUCGGAACAACACAGGGAAACUUGUGCUAAUACCGGAUAAGCCCUUACGGGGAAAGAUUUAUCGCCGAAAGAUCGGCCCGCGUCUGAUUAGCUAGUUGGUAGGGUAACGGCCUACCAAGGCGACGAUCAGUAGCUGGUCUGAGAGGAUGAUCAGCCACAUUGGGACUGAGACACGGCCCAAACUCCUACGGGAGGCAGCAGUGGGGAAUAUUGGACAAUGGGGGCAACCCUGAUCCAGCCAUGCCGCGUGAGUGAUGAAGGCCCUAGGGUUGUAAAGCUCUUUUGUGCGGGAAGAUAAUGACGGUACCGCAAGAAUAAGCCCCGGCUAACUUCGUGCCAGCAGCCGCGGUAAUACGAAGGGGGCUAGCGUUGCUCGGAAUCACUGGGCGUAAAGGGUGCGUAGGCGGGUCUUUAAGUCAGGGGUGAAAUCCUGGAGCUCAACUCCAGAACUGCCUUUGAUACUGAAGAUCUUGAGUUCGGGAGAGGUGAGUGGAACUGCGAGUGUAGAGGUGAAAUUCGUAGAUAUUCGCAAGAACACCAGUGGCGAAGGCGGCUCACUG